CAACCAUCUUUCAUUUAAUAUGCAGCAACAUCAUCGACUUUAUCCAAGGGAUUCAAGUUCGCCGAAUCAGAUUGUUUGGGACAAAUUUCUUCCAUCAAAAUCAAAUUGAAAUAGGAGACUUCUUCCUUGCCGCCCUUAGCCAACCGAGCCCGUAUAGGAGAACAAUUGUGACAACACUCCCACAUCAAAAAUAUAUUUUUGACAGCCACUUUGCCAACUCUAUGUAAACCCAUGCUUGUAUUUGUUGAGCAUCAAUUCAUAGUAUUUGCAAACCGUUUGAGUCUAUUUUUGUAGACUCGGAAGCAUUAACGUAAAGGUAAAAUCUUCUUCUUUUUUUUGUACUUUUUUUUCUUUGUUGUCUUUUUUUUUUUUUUUUUUUAGGUCAAGCGAGAAAGAUGUGUUCUUGUUUAACAAUGAUCCAUGCAUGAAGAAAAUAAUCUUAGGGUGUGAAGGGAUGGUACUCAUCCUUGCCAAAAUAUCGGAGAGAUUACUUUCAUGGCCCGAUUCUUGGAGAGAUUACUCUCAAUGUGGCCCAAUUCUUGGAGAGAUUACUCUCAAAAUGGCCCGACAACUAGAGAGAUUACUCUCAAUGUGGCCCAAUUCUUGGAGAGAUUACUCUCAAGAUGGACCGACUACCGGAGAGAUUACUCUCAAAACGGCCCGACUAUCAGAGAGAUUACUCUCAAUGUGGCCUGACUAUUAGAGAGAUUACUCUAAAUGUGGCCUAACUAUCGGAGAGAUUAGUCUCAAUGUGACCCAAUUCUUGGAGAAAUUACUCUCAAAAUGGCCCGACUACCGGCGAGAUUACUCUCAAAAUGGCCCGACUAUCAGAGAGAUUACUCUCAAUGUGGCCUGACUAUCGAGAGAUUACUCUCAAUGUGGCUCGACCAUCAGCGAUGCCAACUUGAGGUGCAAAGGGACUUAUAUGUCCAUCUUAAUAUUGGAAAUUUAUAGUUCCUUUUAAGGACAAACCCGGAAGAGGCCAACUAAGGUAAAAAGGGACUUAUACUUCCACCUUAAGAUUGGAAAGUGAUAAAGCUUCAACUCCAAGACGACAUCGACUUGAACACUUGGAAAACUUUGAAGAUUUGGCGGACUUUGUAGACUUCAACUCAAAGAUUCGAGGGGCUUAAACAAUUCAACUUUAAGACUGGCGAAUUUGAAGACUGACGAACUUGAAGACUUCAAAUUUGAUACUUGGAGGGCCUAAAUAUUUCAACUUGAAGAUCGGCAAAUUUGAAGACUUCAACUUGAAGACCGACAGACUUAAAUAUUUCAACUUUGAGACUUGGAGGGCCCAAAUAUUUCAACUUGAAGAUUAGCGAAUUUGAAGAUUUCAACUUGAAGACGGCGGAGUUGAAGAUUCCAACUUGGGGACUUCAACUUGAAUACACUUGAAGAUUUCAACUUGGAGACUUCGGGGGCUUAAAUAUUUCAGCUUCUCUUUUGCUUUACAUUGUUUGACUUUUAUCUUAGUCGCAUAAUUUUCAGCUUUACUCGCUUGUAACAAAAGAUUCAUAUCUUGUUGUGGGAGAGUCCAAAUAAUGAACCGUUAGAUGAAUUCAAUAUCUAAAAUAUAUGCAAUACCCAGAAUAAAAAAAACUUCAGAGUUGCGCCGGAUAA
rnacentral:lncRNA from 1 species